rnacentral:rRNA from 1 species
AAUGAACGCUGGCGGCGUGCCUAACACAUGCAAGUCGGAUGUGCCGCAAGGUGCAUGGCAGACGGGUGAGUAACGCGUGGGGAACCUACCUCUUCGUGGGGAAUAACGAUCCGAAAGGAUUGGUAAUACCGCAUGAGACCGAUGGCUGGGAUGCUGUCGGUGAAAGCUGGGGACCAGCAAUGGCCUAGCGCGAGGAGAGGGUCCUGCGUCUGUUUAGCUAGUUGGUGGGGUAAUGGCCUACCAAGGCGUCGAUCAGUAGCCGGCCUGAGAGGGUGAUCGGCCACACUGGAACUGAGACACGGUCCAGACUCCUAUGGGAGGCAGCAGUGGGGAAUUUUGCGCAAUGGGCGAAAGCCUGACGCAGCAACGCCGCGUGGGUGAUGAAGGUCUUCGGAUUGUAAAACCCUGUCGUCGGGGACGAAGGUGGGGGCGUGAACAGCGCCUUUGCUUGACGGUACCCGGAGAGGAAGCCCCGGCUAACUCUGUGCCAGCCGCCGCGGUAAAAC